GCGUCCUGAGUGAACUCCGAGGCCAUUACGCUCCGAUAUGUGCGUUAUGCAGCUCCUCUCUUUCUCUCCCGCCCUGUUAGUCCCAAAGGUCAGGAGCUGUUUCUGUCAGACCAGAAUAAACCCCGCCCACCCCAGUUCUCUGGUGGGAGGAACUAAGAUGCAAGAAGAAGAGGAGGAAGUACAAACUGAGAAAUGGAGCUGCAGGUGUGAUGCAGGGAGGUGGACCCUCACCCUCUCUUCAGCUGCUUCUUCUGGCGACAGCCCGUCUCUCUGCAGAGCGAGCAGAGAUCUGUCAAUCCUCGACAGCCGGCUGCACAGAGACAGCAGCAAGUUCACGAUCCUCUCCAGAUCACCUGCAAACAACAAACAGCGUCACUCUGAUGUCAUACCGAUGAACACGCUGUACUUGUCCUUCUCGUUGGUUUUGAGGUGGUCCUGCACCAUUGUCUCGAUGCUAUCCCCCAGCGACUUGUGAUGCUUCUGCUCCUCACACAGCGCCUCUUUCUCUUGCUUCAGAGCCACCACGCUGCGCCUAAGAGCUUCACACAGCUCCACCUGGUAGACAGCAGGAGAAAUAUUGGUCUCCGUCUUUUGAUCUGCCGCCGUGCUCUGAGCAGGAUCACAGAUGCCAGCCUGGGUCCUACAAAGAAGACAAUACUAUUUAAAAACAGAUAUUUUUGAUGUGAC